AGGGGGAUAGCUCAGUGGAAAAGCACCUGCUCCACAGAAGGCCCUGGGUUCAAUCCCUAGUACCUCCA